rnacentral:tRNA from 1 species
GCCGUGGUGGCACAAAGAGUUAAGUGCUUGGCUGCUAACCAAAAGGUUGGUGGUUCAAACCACCUAGCAGCU